rnacentral:RNase_P_RNA from 1 species
GCGUUCGGGUAAUCGCUGCAGCUUUGCUGUAGAGGAAAGUCCAUGCUCGCACAGGCUGAGAUGCCUGUAGGGUUCGUGCCUGGCGAAAAAAUAAGCCAGGGCAGCUCAUUUUGGGCUGACGGCCGGGAAAAUGCCUAAGUCCUUUUGGAUAUGGCAUGACUACCUGUAAAAGUGCCACAGUGACGGAGCCUUGCUGGAAACAGGAAGGGUGGAACGAGGUAAACCCCACGAGCGAGAAACCCAAACUAUGGUAGGGGAACUUUCUCCGCGGAAUUCAACGCAGGAGAAGGACAGGCAAUACAGCCUGGAGAUAGAUGAUUACCACCGGAGUACGAGACAAUAGUCGCUUGCAGUACAAUGGUACAGAACAUGGCUUACAGAA